rnacentral:rRNA from 1 species
AAUGAACGUUGGCGGCGUGGAUUAGGCAUGCAAGUCGCGCGAUUUCCUUCGGGGAAGAGCGGCGGAAGGGAGAGUAACGCGUAGAUACCUACCCUCGGGACUGGAAUAGCGACGGGAAACUGUCGGUAAUGCCAGAUAACGUCCCUGGACCAAAGGUGUGAAUCCGCCUGAGGAGGGGUCUGCGUCCUAUUAGCUAGUUGGCGGGGUAACGGCCCACCAAGGCGAAGAUGGGUACCGGGCGUGAGAGCGUGACCCGGCUCACUGGGACUGAGACACUGCCCAGACACCUACGGGUGGCUGCAGUCGAGAAUCUUCGGCAAUGAGCGCAAGCUUGACCGAGCGACGCCGCGUGCGGGAUGAAGGCUUUCGGGUUGUAAACCGCUGUCAGUGGGGAGGAAAUUCUUGGGGGUACUCCCCCCUUGAUUGACCGAUCCGCAGAGGAAGGACGGGCUAAGUUCGUGCCAGCCGCCGCCGUAAAAC